rnacentral:rRNA from 1 species
UAAGCAUAUCAAUAAGCGGAGGAAAAGAAACCAACAGGGAUUGCCCCAGUAACGGCGAGUGAAGCGGCAAUAGCUCAAAUUUGAAAUCUGGCUCUUUCAGGGUCCGAGUUGUAAUUUGCAGAGGGUGCUUUGGCGUCGGCCGUGGUCUAAGUUCCUUGGAACAGGACGUCACAGAGGGUGAGAAUCCCGUACGUGGCCGCCGGUCUUCGCCGUGUAAAGCCCCUUCGACGAGUCGAGUUGUUUGGGAAUGCAGCUCUAAAUGGGAGAUAAAUUUCUUCUAAAGCUAAAUAUUGGCCAGAGACCGAUAGCGCACAAGUAGAGUGAUCGAAAGAUGAAAAGCACUUUGGAAAGAGAGUCAAAAAGCACGUGAAAUUGUUGAAAGGGAAGCGCUUGCAGCCAGACGUGCCCGCAGUUGCUCACCCGGGCUCUCGCCCGGGGCACUCUUCUGCGGGCAGGCCAGCAUCAGUUCGGGCGGUUGGAUAAAGGCCUCUGUCACGUACCACCCCCUCGGGGGCGGCCUUAUAGGGGAGGCGCAACACGACCAGCCCGAACUGAGGACCGCGCAUUAUGCUAGGAUGCUGGCGUAAUGGCUGUAAGCGGCCCGUCUUGAAACACGGACCAAGGAGUCUAACAUCUAUGCGAGUGUUUGGGUGUCAAGCCCGGACGCGCAAUGAAAGUGAACGGAGGUGGGAACCCUUACGGGCGCACCAUCGACCGAUCCUGAAGUCUUCGGAUGGAUUUGAGUAAGAGCAUAGCUGUUGGGACCCGAAAGAUGGUGAACUAUGCCUGAAUAGGGUGAAGCCAGGGGAAACCCUGGUGGAGGCUCGCAGCGGUUCUGACGUGCAAAUCGAUCGUCAAA